GAGGGUAUAGCUCAGUGGUAGAGCACAUGCUUAGCAUGCACGAGGUCCUGAGUUCAAUUCCCAGUACCUCCA
rnacentral:tRNA from 1 species